CCGCCAAUAGAAAAAAAAAAAAAAAAAGGAAGAAAGAAAUCACUCCAUUCUUUCCUUCAUUAUUGUUCUCUGAUAUAAAAAUCCCAGCUUCAUUAAAAAGUACUUCGUCCGCAUCCAUCACCGUCUCCAGCUGUAAGCUAUCCUCUGUUCCAGAUUUAUUCCAUGUUUUCAAGGGAUCAAUCCGUCUUCGAGGGACCUUCGUAAUCGGUCAACAGUAAUCAUGGGGUGGGAGGAUAAAAUGCCAUGCUUUCCCUCUGUGUGAGUUCCUGAGAUCGAGAGAGACGUGUUGAGCUGUUCUUAUUCUCUUGCCGGUGGUUCUUGUCGUGCCUCUCUUAUUGCGAGGGAAGGCUGAUUUGGUCCUCGAUUUGGACUCUUCUUAGCACCUCCCCUGUUCUUCUGAAACCGCAUUGCUCUCGGAGUGCGAGGUCAGGCCUCCACGCGUCGAGAUUCUUCAAGGGAACCCAAUCGCAAGGCGCAUUUAAGGGAAAGGCGGCACCUUGAUCUGUUUUUUGAGGAUUUGAGCCUGUGGUUGUCUUCUCUCCGGCAGUGAUGGCGCCGUCGUUCGGUUGGUGGGCGAAGGAAACCCACCGCGGGACGCCGGUGAUCGUCAAAAUGGAGAAUCCGAACUGGUCCAUCUCGGAGAUCUCCCCGGACGACGACGAUGACUACGGUGUCGGCGUUGGCGGCGGCGGAGGGGAGGAGUUCGCCGGCGCCCGGCCGCGGAAGGGCGGACGGGGGAAGAACGCGAAGCAGAUUACCUGGGUGCUCCUCCUCAAGGCCCACCGUGCCGCCGGCUGCCUCACCUCCCUCGCCUCCGCCGUCUUCGGCCUCGCGUCCGCCGUCCGCCGCCGCGUCGCCUCCGGCCGGACGGACUCCGACGCCGCCUCAUCCUCUCCGGAGGAGAGCCCGGUGCUGCGCACCCGGUUCUAUUCUUGUAUCAAGGUCUUCCUUUGGCUCUCCGUGGUGCUCUUGGGGGUCGAGGUCGUUGCCUACUUCAAGGGCUGGCACCUGGGAGCCCCCCAGCUCCGGGUCUUCGCCUUCCCCACCUCAUUUGGCGUUCGAGAUCUCUUCGACACGGUGUAUUCCCGGUGGAUCCACUUCCGGGCGGAGUACGUCGCCCCGCCGCUCCAGUUCCUCGCCGACGCCUGCGUCGUUCUCUUCCUCAUCCAGAGCGCCGACCGCCUCAUCCUCUGCCUCGGCUGCUUCUGGAUCCGCUUCAAGAGGAUCAAACCGGUGCCGAAGACCGCUAAACCCGGCGCCGGAGCUUCCGAAGACCUCGAAUCCGGUGGCGAGGACUUCCCCAUGGUGCUAGUCCAGAUACCCAUGUGCAAUGAGAGAGAGGUAUAUCAGCAGUCGAUUGCUGCUGUGUGUAAUCUGGAUUGGCCAAGGUCCAAUUUGCUGGUUCAGGUGUUGGAUGAUUCGGAUGAUCCCAUGACACAGGCGUUGAUCAAGGAGGAGGUGGAGAAGUGGCAGCAGAAUGGAGCUCAGAUCGUUUACCGGCACCGGGUGAUCCGAGAUGGAUACAAGGCUGGGAACCUCAAGUCUGCCAUGAAUUGCAGCUAUGUUAAGGACUAUGAGUUCGUCGCCAUCUUCGAUGCCGACUUCCAGCCGCAGCCGGACUUCUUGAAGCAAACUGUUCCCCAUUUUAAGGACAAUGAGGAGGUGGGGCUGGUGCAGGCGAGGUGGUCUUUUGUGAAUAAAGAUGAGAAUUUGCUCACCCGGCUGCAGAACAUUAAUCUGUGCUUUCACUUUGAGGUGGAGCAGCAGGUGAAUGGGGUGUUCAUCAACUUCUUUGGAUUCAAUGGGACGGCUGGAGUCUGGAGAAUUAAGGCUCUGGAAGAUGCUGGGGGGUGGAUGGAGAGAACCACUGUGGAGGACAUGGACAUUGCGGUCCGAGCCCAUCUCAAGGGAUGGAAGUUCAUCUUCCUCAAUGAUGUGGAGUGCCAAUGUGAAUUGCCGGAGUCAUAUGAGGCUUACAGAAAGCAGCAGCACCGAUGGCAUUCUGGCCCCAUGCAGUUGUUUAGGCUCUGCUUGCCGGAUAUUAUCCGAGCCAAGAUUGGGUUCUGGAAGAAGGCCAACUUGAUCUUUCUGUUUUUCCUUCUCCGGAAGCUCAUAUUACCAUUCUAUUCCUUUACUUUAUUCUGCAUCAUCCUCCCAAUGACCAUGUUUGUCCCUGAAGCUCAGCUCCCUGCAUGGGUGGUCUGCUACAUCCCUGCCACGAUGUCCUUCCUUAACAUCCUGCCUGCACCUCGAUCCUUCCCAUUCAUUGUGCCCUACCUCCUCUUCGAAAAUACCAUGUCUGUGACCAAGUUCAAUGCCAUGAUCUCUGGCCUAUUCCAGCUUGGAAGUGCCUACGAAUGGGUUGUCACUAAGAAAUCAGGCCGUUCCUCUGAGGGUGAUCUUGUUCACUUAAUAGAAAAAGAACCUAAGCAACAACGAGGUGCCUCUGCUCCCAACCUCGAAGCCAUUGCAAAGCAAGAAACCAAGCCGAGGAAGGACAGGAAAAAACAUAACAGGAUCUACCGGAAAGAGCUGGCACUUGCCUGCCUUCUUUUAACUGCUUCUGCUCGAAGUUUGCUCUCUGCCCAGGGCAUACAUUUUUACUUCCUCCUCUUCCAGGGGAUCUCAUUCCUGUUGGUGGGUCUUGAUCUGAUUGGUGAGCAGAUUGAGUGAAAGCUUAAAAGAAAUUGCACGGAGGGACUUGUCUUGUAGAUUGGGCAAGUAUCGACAAACAUCUUAUUUAAGAGAGGCAUGCACUGCUGGUGCUUCUCACCAGAAUCAAUUUCAUCCCUUGUUGGUGGAGAAUUUAAAAUUUCCUCUCGUUGGAGGUGUAGAUAUUUCUAUGCUCAGCCUGUUAGUUGCUUCAUUUUUUCAGUGAUAGAGUCGAAACUACGCAAAGUAUGGCGAGUCCCUGCACCAGAGGUUUCAAGAUGCAACAGAACCACACGGUGGCAACCCAGUCAUAAUGCCAACUGAGGGCAGCUACUGAAACUUGAAGAGGACAAUAAAAUCAGACACAAAUAAAGAUAAUGGGGAUAUGACACAAUGAAACCAGUGCAAAGUUGACCCCACCCUGAGUGGCUUGAACUCCCAACGAGUCCAGUCUCCUCAGUUGUCACAGUAAACCAUGCCCAAGAAUGGGAUACAAACAACAUUAUUGUUUCCAAUUUGUCCAUCUUUUUUGCAUCCAAAUGCCACGAAGCUUGGUUUUCAUGAUCUA